rnacentral:lncRNA from 1 species
UGAUGUUCACCAGUAUUUGUUAGGAAAGCUACACGAGGAAAUUUUCAAUAUUCUUGCUCAUGUACACAAUAAAGAGUCAUGUAGAUGAGUCGUUGUGACCUUGCCAUUUCGAUGAGAUCAAUCCGCCGCCUCCGGUGUCGAGGCAAAAAUCACAGAUCGAAACCGUCGUCGCCGCCGAAUACUUGCGCCCACUCCUACCUCGAGGCGACGACGUUGGUGUGGCUGCGUGGGAGAGCGGAGCCAGUUCCUCUCCCUCUAUUUCUAACUGUAGAUUAUCCCUAGGGAGCACUUCAUAAAGAAUGUUCAUGAUAUUCCAAAACAAGAGAUGUUUUUAUCAUAUAAUCCAAAGGAACUGGAUACCUUGUAUAGCACAGAAAGAGUUUGAGCAGUUGGAUUUUUUAUCUCACCUAUGUGUCAAAGUAGUCCAGCUACCUGAUAUUUAUAUUUCUCUAACUACUGCCAAAUCUAAGUGUAAGGCCAUUCUCCCACGUAGGGCAUAAUUAUUCCUGAUGAAACCAUUGUACAUGUAGUAGGCAGGAGCAAGAUGUUAGUUCUAGGUUGCAGACUUCCCAUAGAUAGAUUCAGUAGCAUACUUUAAGAAGGUACUAACUUGCAAGCCCUAUUCUAUGAGAGAAGCGAAUAAGAAAACAGUAAGUAAACUAUACUGUGUGACUUUUAUGUUUUAACAAACAACAAUAAUUCAAGAAAAGAUGUGCUGAGCUUCCAGAAAGAAAAUAUUCAUGCAUUUGUAAAGGUUCAUGAUUGAAUGAGCUUUCAUCCGAAGUGAACAGUGUUUGGUUAACUUUGGACAAAGAAUAAAUCAAGAAAAGAUGUAUUGGAUUUCCAGAAAGAACAUAUUCAUGCAUUUAUAUAGUACAAAAGAGAACCUCCACUGCAAUUGCAAAUUCUAGCGAGCCUAUCCAUACCAUGUUAUCCCAUUUUUAGAAGAGUAAACACCAUUUAGAACCCCAGAAAUUCCACGACAGAAUCUCAAAGGCAAAGGAAAAGGUUUACUUGUCUGAAGAUAAUACGUUCAGAGUUUGUUCUCAACAAACUGAUCUAUGACCCAUACAAACUCACACAGAUGACUGCGUGAGUUAGAGUAUUUGGAUCUAUAUAAACACUUGGUGUGGGUAAGGUGCGCUACUAAUUAGGCUACUAUACUUGUUAUUUCUUUUUGGCGAUGUUGGUAUAGCAUGUGCAUAGCAGUGUUACUGAACUUAUUUUAGCGACAAGACAAGCAGUACAGACGAAUGACAGGUCCAUGUUGCUGGUUAAAAAUAUAAGACACGGCGACCAGUGCACAUUCAAAAACCAGAGCAAGUGUAUGGGUUUCAUAGAUAUUAAUAGGUUGCAUAAACAGGGAAGCAACAGUUUUAUAGGGUAGAAGACUGAUCACAGAGACACGAAAAGUGGUUCAAACUAAGGGGUGUCAGUCACUUAAUUAUAGCAAGUAUUUUCCCUAACAUGGGAAUCUGCUAAGAGUAUAGAUUAACCCUGAAGCAAAUCGAUGGUUAACUUAACUAAAGCUAGCUCCUAUUUUUCUGAACUAAAUAUCAAGUAAAAAGUAGCAGUCACUCAAAUUAUUUGACUAAGAUUUCUUCAUGGGACCCCCUAGUCCAGGGUUGUACCUGAUGUUGAUGGGGAUUGAAUUUGGUUUGUGUAGCUCCGUGUAUUUUUUUCCUCACAGGCAUCGAUCUAGACAGCGGGUGGCGAUAGUCUCAAUCAUGGCGUGCCAGCCCUAGGUGCCUGUGGCAAAGAA